UACGUAGGGUGCAAGCGUUGUCCGGAAUUCUUGGGCGUAAAGCGCUCGUAGGCGGUCUGUUGCGUCGGCUGUGAAAACCCGGGGCUCAACCCCGGGCCUGCAGCCGAUACGGGCAGACUAGAGUUCGGCAGGGGAGACUGGAAUUCCUGGUGUAGCGGUGAAAUGCGCAGAUAUCAGGAGGAACACCGGUGGCGAAGGCGGGUCUCUGGGCCGAUACUGACGCUGAGGAGCGAAAGCGUGGGGAGCGAACAGG
rnacentral:rRNA from 1 species